GGAGAACACAUCCAUCAAAGUGGGGCCGGCUAGGAAAGGCAGCUCUAAGGCCAAGAUGGCCCGAAGGAGCAAAAGGAGCCGGGGCAAGGACGGGCAGGAAAGCCGAAAAAGAAACUCCCUAUUCCGGAAAAUCACAAAGCAGGCCUCCUUGCUACACACCAGCCGCAGCCUUUCUUCCCUUAACCGCUCUUUGUCAUCGGGGGAGAGUGGGCCCUGCUCUCCCACACACAGCCACAGCCUCUCUCCCCGAUCUCCUCCUCAGGGCUACCGGGUAGCCCCAGAUACUGUGCACUCAGGUACAGGGGUUCCCCUGCAGAUCAGAAACCAUCCCUUGGGCAAUUAUGGUGAACGUUAGCCAUCUGCUUCCCAUGCGCCCAACUCUAAAUCCAGGUGUCUUGGGGGGAAUUGGUGGAUAAGGCGGUGAGGGGUUGAGUAAAUGGACUGUAGUCCACCAGUUAGUGUAAUGGGAGCAACAGUCCUGGGCAUUCCAAAGCGAAGUUCUGCCUUGCCAUCCAUCACUUCUAACAACUAACACUGAUGUGUUGUUUUCUGUUUGUCCAUCCACCCAUGCAACUAUCCAAAGUAGGAGGGAAUUCAUCACAGAGCAGCUCUCCCAGCUCCAGUGUGCCCAGCUCUCCUGCUGGCUCCGGACAUACACGGCCCAGCUCCCUUCAUGGAUUGGCACCCAAGCUCCAACGCCAGUACCGCUCGCCAAGGCGCAAGUCAGCAGGC
rnacentral:lncRNA from 1 species